AAGUUAGGGGUGUUACAUAUACACAACUAUGCAACAACAUAAAUCAUCAACCAGUCAACUAUUCAAACAUACAAUCUUAUCAAUUCAUAAGUUAAGCACCCAACCUUAUAAAUUUCUAAGCUAAGAUCAAACAUGUAUCAUAUUUAUUCCUAGCUAUACUUACCAAAAAUUUAACCACAACUUUAAUAAAUGAACUAUAUUCACCACCAAACCUAGCAACCAUGUAACCAUCAUCACAUUACAAGACAACAUCGAUCAAAAGAUAAAAUAUUUACAUGUUUUAUAUAUAUACAUAUCAAACAAGUUCAUAGGCAUAACAACCUAUUAC
rnacentral:lncRNA from 1 species